rnacentral:lncRNA from 1 species
UCUGCAACAGAAAAAGCGUUGUCGAAAGGGACAAGAUCCUAAUCAUGUUUCAGAGUGUGUGUGUGUUUCUGUUGUUGCAUUUGUGUGGUUGUCGUUGGCUCAGAUGCAGAGAGAGUGAGAGAGAGAGAGAGAGAGAGAGAGAGCGUGAGAGAAGUAGAGCCUCCAACACUGAAUUCAGACACGACGCAGACAGACAGACAGACAGACUUAUCAGUCAAUCGAGACGACAAGGCCCCACUUCGAU